rnacentral:rRNA from 1 species
AUUGAACGCUGGCGGCAUGCCUUACACAUGCAAGUCGAACGGCAGCACGGGAGCAAUCCUGGUGGCGAGUGGCGAACGGGUGAGUAAAGUAUCGGAACGUGCCCAGUCGUGGGGGAUAACGUAGCGAAAGUUACGCUAAUACCGCAUACGAUCUAUGGAUGAAAGCGGGGGAUCGCAAGGCCUCGCGCGAUUGGAGCGGCCGAUAUCAGAUUAGGUAGUUGGUGGGGUAAAGGCUCACCAAGCCGACGAUCUGUAGCUGGUCUGAGAGGACGACCAGCCACACUGGGACUGAGACACGGCCCAGACUCCUACGGGAGGCAGCAGUGGGGAAUUUUGGACAAUGGGCGAAAGCCUGAUCCAGCCAUGCCGCGUGCAGGAUGAAGGCCUUCGGGUCGUAAACUGCUUUUGUACGGAACGAAAAGGUUUGGCCUAAUAAGCUGAGCUCAUGACGGUACCGUAAGAAUAAGCACCGGCUAACUACGUGCCAGCAGCCGCCGUAA